GACCAUGUGACCUAACGGAUAAAGCGUCUGACUUCGAAUCAGAAGACUGAGAGUUCGAAUUUCUUCGUGGUUA
rnacentral:tRNA from 1 species